rnacentral:rRNA from 1 species
UCGAGUCGUUGAUUUCACACUGCCGAGAAAAGCCUCUAGAUAGAAAAUAGGUGCCCGUACCGCAAACCGACACAGGUAGUCAAGAUGAGAAUUCUAAGGUGAGCGAGCGAACUCUCGUUAAGGAACUCGGCAAAAUGACCCCGUAACUUCGGGAGAAGGGGUGCUCUUUAGGGUUAACGCCCAGAAGAGCCGCAGUGAAUAGGCCCAAGCGACUGUUUAUCAAAAACACAGGUCUCUGCUAAACCGUAAGGUGAUGUAUAGGGGCUGACGCCUGCCCGGUGCUGGAAGGUUAAGAGGAGUGGUUAGCUUCUGCGAAGCUACGAAUCGAAGCCCCAGUAAACGGCGGCCGUAACUAUAACGGUCCUAAGGUAGCGAAAUUCCUUGUCGGGUAAGUUCCGACCCGCACGAAAGGCGUAACGAUUUGGGCACUGUCUCAACGAGAGACUCGGUGAAAUCAUAGUACCUGUGAAGAUGCAGGUUACCCGCGACAGGACGGAAAGACCCCGUGGAGCUUUACUGUAGCCUGAUAUUGAAAUUCGGCACAGCUUGUACAGGAUAGGUAGGAGCCUUUGAAACGUGAGCGCUAGCUUACGUGGAGGCGCUGGUGGGAUACUACCCUAGCUGUGUUGGCUUUCUAACCCGCACCACUUAUCGUGGUGGGAGACAGUGUCAGGCGGGCAGUUUGACUGGGGCGGUCGCCUCCUAAAAGGUAACGGAGGCGCUCAAAGGUUCCCUCAGAAUGGUUGGAAAUCAUUCAUAGAGUGUAAAGGCAUAAGGGAGCUUGACUGCGAGACCUACAAGUCGAGCAGGGUCGAAAGACGGACUUAGUGAUCCGGUGGUUCCGCAUGGAAGGGCCAUCGCUCAACGGAUAAAAGCUACCCCGGGGAUAACAGGCUUAUCUCCCCCAAGAGUUCACAUCGACGGGGAGGUUUGGCACCUCGAUGUCGGCUCAUCGCAUCCUGGGGCUGUAGUCGGUCCCAAGGGUUGGGCUGUUCGCCCAUUAAAGCGGUACGCGAGCUGGGUUCAGAACGUCGUGAGACAGUUCGGUCCCUAUCCGUCGUGGGCGUAGGAAAUUUGAGAGGAGCUGUCCUUAGUACGAGAGGACCGGGAUGGACAUACCUCUGGUGUACCAGUUGUCGUGCCAACGGCAUAGCUGGGUAGCUAUGUGUGGACGGGAUAAGUGCUGAAAGCAUCUAAGCAUGAAGCCCCCCUCAAGAUGAGAUUUCCCAACUUCGGUUAUAAGAUCCCUCAAAGAUGAUGAGGUUAAUAGGUUCGAGGUGGAAGCAUGGUGACAUGUGGAGCUGACGAAUACUAAUCGAUCGAAGACUUAAUCAA